rfam:Chelonia mydas contig237215, whole genome shotgun sequence.
UUCUGCCUUGCAUCAGCUCCAUACUAAAAUUGGAACGACACAGAGAAGAUUAGCAUGGUCCCUGCACAAGGAUGACACGCAAAUUCGUGAAGCAUUCCAUAUUAAA